UCCACCGUGAGGUGGAAUCUAAAGGAAGUCGGCGGCAAAACUCUGGUCUGACGAACAGAAACUACAUAUAAGGCAUAUGCUUGUGGGUAAGUUUGCUUAACAAAACGAAGCCCUAACUAUCCGAAACAGGCGGUGUAAAUGUAGCAGAUAUUUGGAGGGAAAGUAGACGUU
rfam:Clostridium estertheticum subsp. estertheticum strain DSM 8809, complete genome.